rnacentral:lncRNA from 1 species
AGUAAAAAAGGAGUGUCUGAACAAUCUGUUGCUUUUUCCUGUGAAUCUGCAGGUGUUCCUGGGCUGAGGGAGAGGAGAGAGGCAGAGGGAGGAGAAGGGCACCAAGACCAGAGGUGAAAAUGAGCCUGUGAAGAGAGGAGGAGGGGAGAGAGAGAAAGACAAGAAGACCGAGACAAGUUCACCAGUUUUCCCCUUGUGUAAAAUCAGAUGAGACCGAACCUGUGGUGAUGAAUGAGAAGUGCUGCAAACAACUGCUAAUGCCUGCAGAGGUUGGAAGAAUGUACUUAAUGGAGAUGUGGGUACCUAAAGCGCUUCUUUUUUGUUCUGUUUUUGCCUCCUCUUUUCUCUCUCUCUCUAGUCCAUGCAUGCAUGCUCCUGUGUGAUAGUUGAGUAUUAAGUUGAGUUUGUCAGUGUUGUGUUGCAACUUGCAAGCAAGAAAAAAAACAAGGUAAAAGGCUGGCUGGGGAGCCAAUUGGGGGGUGGCUGUUUUCUUGUGUGAGAUUCUUCCCUGGGAAUUCCUUCCUUGGCUGAGCUGGUGGUGCCAUACAUGUGUCCGUCUGCCAGCUCAGCAGGGGAGUGAGCUGGCCACAGCACAUAUGGUUGCUCCUCCCCAUCCCUGCAUGUGACCUUGUGUUGGCUGCCUGGCUGGUGGUUGAGUGCUCCUCCUCCUCCUGCUUAGUAGGUAUGGUGAUUAGCUUAGGACAUAAUACAAUCAUACUCCCUCCGUUCCUAAAUAUAAAACCUUUUAGAGAUUGUACUCUAAACUACAUACGGAUGUACAUAGACAUAUUUUAGAGUACAGAUUUACUCAUUUUGUUCCGUAUGUAGUCUUGUAGUGAAAUCCCUAAAAGGUCUUAGAGCAUCUCUAGUAGAACCCUCAAAUCCUUAAAUGUAAAACCAGUUUUAAGGGUUGAGAAUUGCCCAAUUUUAACACUUUUAAGGGUUGAAAACAGGAGCAAAGAGUAGAACCUCAAACCCAACCCUUAUUACGGAAUAUUCCGUUAUAAGGGUUGGGUUUGAGGGUUCUACUCUUUGCCCCAACCCCAACCCUUAAAACUGUCAUUUGGCAUUGCAUAAUUUUCACUAGAAAAACAUAAUAAACCUCCAAACAAACACGGAAAUAAAGAUCAUUGAUGCAUGGUUUAAUAGUUUUUUACAUCACACAAUCAUCAUCUUUCCCCUCUACUCGGCACCAUCACCAAAAAAUUACACUUGGCGCCAUUUCCUAGACCACUUCCACGUCCAUCAAGCACCUCCAUUGUCGCCGGUGGUGGAGUCUUCCACACCGCCAUCGCCACCACAACUCAUCGGAGCGUCACCUCGAAGAGUAGAGGACGCACCACGGAAUAUCCUCUUCCUCUCCGCGAUGUCCUCCUUGUAGUCCUUCCACCAUUGCAAUUGUUCUUGAUCCAUGUCCUUCUUGGACAUCAUCAUGUGCUCCUUCUCUUCCACCAUGAGUUCUUUCCAUACCUUUGCCUCUUUCACCUUGAUCAUCCUCUCCUCCAAGUCGGCCUUGCGCUUUGCUUCUUCACGCUUUGCUUCCACUUGUGCAAGCUUGACCUCUUUCUUCUUCUCGGUGAUAAGAAGCUUCGUCUUCAAUGUCUUCGUUGUCAAUUCCUCUCUUGCCUUCAUCAUUUGCUCCAUCUUCUCCCUUAGGCUUGACGCCUCUCCUUCCAUCUUCACCCUUACCUUGCCCUUCUUGGUUCCCUCGGGCUUGCCCAAGUUCCUCUCCCCCUCCUCAUCUUCACCAUCAUCCAUCCUAAGCAUUGCCGACUUCUUGGGUGCGGUCUCUUGAUCCCUCAACUUCCACUUGUCAAAGGUUUGAAGAAUUGCCCAAGCAUGUUUAAAUGGGAAUGGCUUGCCCUUGGAAGCGGCCAUCUCCUUGUACCUCAUGCCGGCAAUUGUCUCCUAUCAACCACACAUAAUCACAUAAGAACACAACAAUGGCCACACAUAAUCACAUAAUCAAAAUAGUGAAGAGAUAUGUACUCACAUAGUCACUCUCCACGGUUCCACUAGGUGGUGCAUCCCUCACUUGGUCCAUGGCCGCACUCCAACGAGCACAAGCGGGCUUCAUCAACUCCCACCGGCCUUGAAGCGACCGGUAAGUGCGAGAGAUGAACCCACUAUUCUUCGGCUUGAUCCUACAAUAGUUGUCCUCGAUCCUUUGCCAAUACAGUUUACCGGUUUGGUCGGUGCCGGUGGUUGCAUCCAUCCCCACAGUUGCCCAAGCACGAAUCAAGAGGAUAUCUUCCGCCUCGGUGUAGUUUGUCGACCGCGUGCGUGGAUGGGAAGCGACGGUGAAUGCCUCCUCCCCUAUCUCGGCCACCUCCUCCUCGUCAUCCCCUUCAUCCUCCUCAUCUUCCUCCAAGUCAUCAACCCUAAAGGGUUCUAGAGGCGGAGCCCCGAGGUCCACCUCCGCGUCUUGGAGAAGGUUCAUGAACGAGGAUGGGGUUGCCAUUUCCUCGAACACCUCGUGCGCGACGGGAGGNNNNNNNNNNNNNNNNNNNNNNNNNNNNNNNNNNNNNNNNNNNNNNNNNNNNNNNNNNNNNNNNNNNNNNNNNNNNNNNNNNNNNNNNNNNNNNNNNNNNNNNNNNNNNNNNNNNNNNNNNNNNNNNNNNNNNNNNNNNNNNNNNNNNNNNNNNNNNNNNNNNNNNNNNNNNNNNNNNNNNNNNNNNNNNNNNNNNNNNNNNNNNNNNNNNNNNNNNNNNNNNNNNNNNNNNNNNNNNNNNNNNNNNNNNNNNNNNNNNNNNNNNNNNNNNNNNNNNNNNNNNNNNNNNNNNNNNNNNNNNNNNGCGGGAUGAAAAUCCCUCCCGCGCUGGAGCUGAAGUGGAGUGCGGGUUGGGAGGAGAAACUCCUCCCAACCCUCACUUCUACAGGCUCAAAACUAGUUUGAGGGUCGGACCUCUAAAAAUAUUUACGGGUUUAAGGGUUUAAGGGUUUUAGUCUACGUCAUUUUUCGGACGAAAACUGUAGAAAAACGGUUAUUUUUAAGGAUUUGGGGGUUUGAGGGUUCUACUAGAGAUGCUCAUUUUGGAACGGAGGGAGUACAACACAUGGUGCUACGAUUAUUCCGGUAUGUCAUGGUCAUAAGUUCCGAAUUACUUGUCGUAGGAUAGAUUGUAUGUAAAUUUCUAUCCAUUUCCGCGACAAGUAAUUAGAACGGAGGGAAGUAUAGUAUCUUGGGUGGUGCGGUGUGCAAGUCGUGAUGAGAGUAUCUAUCUAUCAAUCUAGUAUCCCGUCGCUUUACUGCCAAAGAAGAAGAAAUUCAGUGGGCAUACACAUGCCUCCAUCCAGCCAACGGGAAACCAGCUACGACGCGUAUGGAAGGGAAUUGACAUGAUGGAAAGAGGUUUGGGUUUUGUUUUCUAUUUCCUGUCUCCCCCCCCCCCCCCUCUAUCCCUCAGUCCCUCACUGCUGGCUUCACUUUCAUAAUCCCUUGUCGAUUUUUGCGUUGCGUGAGAAAUUAGUGUGGACACAUGAGAAAUUAGUCGAAAGACGAAUCGCGCGGAUCACUUGUUUAAGUUAUUUUUAGAGUCAAUUACACCGGCGGUGUUUAAACUUAAUACAAACGGUCAUUUUGAUGAUCAUUUUGAUAUUAAAACUUACGGCAUACAUUAAACUAGUGCAGGAACUUGUUAUGCUAAGUUAAGCAUAGAUACACGUUUGUGACGUGAAUACCACAAUGGUGGAGUUGCUACCUCCGUACUCUGUGCAAGUCAUGGUUGUGGGUCCGUAAAAAAUGUUUUCAUUAAUUUUUACCCUUCAUUGAGAGGACACACCUGUCAUAGAGGUGAAUCUAAAAAAAGAAUUCCAAUUCAAGUUUUUGAUUCUUUAUUGCACAACAGGCCACACACACUCCUAUCAGCCUUCCGGUCACUGACAGCAGGCCCAUGCCAUGCUGGCGUGUGAAGUCAGCAUCAAUUUCAUACGCAAACUCGUGAUUUGCAUCAUAUUCGUACGUCUAAGUUAAGUUUUACAUCAAUUCAAUGUAUGCCACAAGUUCUAGCAUCGAAGUGAUCAUUUGCGUCAAGUUCAAGCACCACCGAUGUAAUUAACUCUUCUUUUUUUACUUGGGAGAUGGGUGGGCUGUGCGGUCUCCUUGGACCACUUUUCUUUGUGUGUUUGUUACUGUUUGCCCACUCACAUCUUCGCGUCCCUCCCAUAGCCCCGCGGGAGCAACAUGGAGGGGAACCCUAGAUUGCAGCGUGGGAGUUUCUCGUCCUCUAGCGCGGAAGCAGGCGUGUGCCAAUGCCUCAGGCUAGGGCGCGACAUAGGCUGGGCACCAUGGAGUGACGACACAUGGGCGUGCAACAUUUGGAUGUGGCGAAGGAAAGACAGGCAGCGGGUCGAUGGGUUGCGGGCAAUGUCGGAGGACAAUAGUAGGCGUACCUAUAUCUUCUUCGCACGAGCGACAAUGUCUCUCGUUGGGUCGGAUUGGAAGGAUUAGGGUGAUGUGUCCAGUUUUGUGUGGACCGACUCGACCUUUCCUUUUGUGUUGGUGGGCGUCUUCGAUGAGUGCUUAUGCCUUCAGAUCUUCUCGUUUGUGGGUCUAUCGUCGAGGAAAAAAAAUCAUUGUCUCAAACUGUUGGCGCAGAUGACGCAGUGACAUCUAUGGGCUCCACUAACCUGCUUGGAGGGUAUCUUCACGGUGGCGGUACUGUUAAGAUUUAAAUGAAACAUUAUUUUGCUUGCCAGACCACAUGGUGGUGGCGUGUGGCGUCGUCUACCUUCUUGGAUUCAUUGUUUUGGAGCUCAUAUCCGUAGGUGAGAUCUCGAAGGCGUAGUUGCGUUGGACUACCACGUCGAAUUGGCUGGAAGGGUCGUUUUCUCCAAGGGAAACCCUGGAUCUAAGUCUCGGUUCGGAUGAUGGUGUCAUCUAGCGCCCCACCCUACCUGGGGGCAUCAUUCAUGGAGCAAGCGCUGACUUGAGGGGUCCAGAUGUGGCGUCGAAUCUACUGCGUCGAUGAUGACUGUUCUUGGCGGCAUGACGCAGUGGAGUCUUGGCGACAAAUCAUCUUGAUGGACGAGCGCAAGGCGGUGACACAAAAAGUUUGCACCAUCUCUCGAGGUGAGAGUGGAGAAUGCAUGGUACUAAAGAGGCUAACGAAAUAUGGAUAGGUGGAAGUGCUUGUAGACCAAAAGCUAACAUUAAACAUUAAUAACUUAAGUACUUAUUGCAAAAGUUUUAGUAGCCCUCGAAUCAAAGCAUAGCUUGCAUGCUCAUAGAGAGGAGGUUGAUAGGAGUGAAGCAUCGCGUGCCCCCGAUCCAAACACACAAAGGUUUAUUCAAUCGAAGAUAAAUCACACUUUGACUUCCCUGCUAAUGCCAUCAACCACCACUUUCAUGUAAGAGGAGUCACAAACUUUAACACCAAUAUUCAUUCUUAGAUUUAAUUAGUCACUGACAUACUCACACAUUACUACCUUAAUAUCACAAAAGUAUUACAAGGAAUCAAACUUAUCAUAUUCAAUGAUCUACAAGUUCAUGCUAGUUUUUUUAGAAGAACAGGGAGGCUCCUCUCCGAUUCCAUUCAUCAAAUGAAACCAACAAGUCAUACAUCAGCCCACUGAGAGGAGCAGUUCAACAGAAAGCUUAAGAAAAAGUAAAACAAACAAAGAAUUGGACUAGCCUCGUUACAACAAUAUUCUUAGUCAAGACACAACCAGACAAAGGAGGCGUGGGGGGAGAUCACAGUGCAUCAACUAGCACCGGGGGAGGGGGGAGUCUUCAUGGUCUUCAUAGGGGUGUCGUGGUUCCCUGUGGAGACCAAUAUACUUCAAGGGUUGAUAUUGGGUUGAGCAAUGCAAUUUUGCUCCCAACGUCUCUCUUCUUGGGCACGGGGUGGGUGGGGGUGGGGGUGGAACAACCAUCUUCAGAAAUCUUGAGCCGGCUCCAAGGGUCAGCAUGUGAAGGCAUUUUAUCACACGAGCUCAACCACUUGUAAGCAUCAAAGGGCGCUCAACAAAUCUGGCCAGUUGAUCUAAGAAGGCCUCUAGCCUCAUCCCACUCUGUUCUGGGGACAAAACAAUCCAAGAUUUUGUCAUUCUUCGGAUCAAUCUCAGGACAUGUUUAAUGGAAGUCCAGAGAGUGUUAUAAAAAUCAUAGAGUUCCUAAAUUCCCAUAGACACCAAACAACUGUAGAAGUAACAAUAUUCGGGGCAAAAAAUUUAUUGUUGGAAACCCAAAAUCUGGCUACAAAUUCAGAAAUAUUUCAAGCAUCAACAUUCAAGUGAUCUCUAACAAAGAACCAUACAACCUUAGCUACCACACAAUCAAAAAUAGGUGUGAAAUGGACUCGGGUUCUUCACAUAAAACACAAUCAAGUGGUUUGUUAGUGUGAAAUCAACGACAAAAAUACAUGGAUUUCGGGGAACCCUCAGCUUCCAAACAGCAGGAAUGAAAAUUGGUUGCACCCCCUAAAAAUAAUCAAAUGAUAUAAGGAGCUAGAGGAGUAUUUCCCUUUGUUUUGUAAUUGCCAAACCAAAGAGUCUGAGUCAGUACUGAGAACAAUGCUACCAACUAUCCCAACUAGUUGGUAUCAUUGUUCCAUGAGUUUUUCAUCAAAAUUUAUUUUUAAGGUAAGUUUCACGUGAUGGUAAUCUAGAUCUCACUAAUGCAUUUAGUAGAUUCAUUACAAUUGAUGUAAGUAGGAAACAAUUGAACUGCCGAGGGGAAUUACCAAACCAAGUAUCUUCCGAGAACCCAUUUUAUUACAUGUUCCCACCUUCCAUCUAUAGGCAAAUUUCAAAGAUUGAAAAAUGUAUUUAAUUCCUUUCCAAGAAACAAUGGUGUUAUGGUGAGGGCUAGGGUUGAAGAGAUUAGUUUCCCACCCAUGUACUUAUGAUCAAUGAUCAUUUUCCAAGGCUUCCCCUCUCAUAAUAUCUCUUGAUCCAGGAGUCUAGGAGGCACAAAUUAAUUUCUUGGAGGUUGGGAAUUCCUAAACCCCCAAAUUCUCUUUUUCAUGCAAACCAGUUUCCAAUUUGCAAGAUACAAUUUCUUCUAUCCUUCAAAAUCAUUCCACAUGCAGUGGGCCAUCUGAGAAUUGAUCAUCUCAAUAGCCCACUUCGAGAAUUUGAAGAAUGAUAGGAGGUAAACGAGAAUACUAGCAAGGCAGGCUGGUAUAAGAAUCAACCUGCCCCUACAGGAAAGGAGUUUUCCUCUCGAGCCAACAAUUCUUUUCGUGAUAUUAUCAAUAAGGGGUUGAAUAUCUUCUCUCCUCAAUCUAACAUGAUGGAGAGGAAUUCCUAAGUAUUUAAUGGGGAAAACACCUCCACUACCAUCUAGAGCAGAGAGGAAGAGUUGGAAUUUCUCAUGUUCCAUAUUGAUAGAGAUCAAUUCAUGUUUAGCAUACUUCAUUCUCAUGCGAGGCACUUGUCCAAAACAGGUGAGAGAAAUUUUGAGAUUAUGAGCAUGGGUGAUGUUAUCAUCUAAGAAGAUGGUAUCAUCCGCAUAUUGAAGGCGGAUGAUGCCUCAUGGAUAUACCUCAGGGCAGAGGCCAACAUUCAGGUUUUGAUUGGCAGCCUUAGCCAGUAUCCUCGUGAGUACAUUUACUACUAAAUUGCAGAGCAAGGGGGAAAUUGGGUCACCGUGUCUGAUAUCUUUUCCAGUAAGGAAGAAGUCACUUUCUACAUUAUUCAGUUUGGAUCCAUUGUAACCACUUUUCACCAAACCCUCUAUGUUUUUAGAAGCUCAGAGAGGAAGUUUAAAUCUACCUUGCUAAAAGCUUUUUCAUAAUCAAGCUUCAACACAAGCCCCUGUGCAUUGCUAGGAUGGACUGAAUGUAAAACCUCAUGAGGAAUGACUACAAUUUCUAGGAUACAUCUGCCUUUGAUAAAAGCAGACUGAUUACUAUCAAAUAAUUUGGAAAGUCUGUUAGUAAGAACUUUAUAAAAAGAUCAAAACUACCAUUAAUAAGGCUAAUUGGCCUAAAGUUCAUAGAAGUAGCAUCAGGUUCCUUAGGGAUCAGAGUGAGCAUAGUAAAAUUAAUCCUAAAAAUGUCGAGAUUUCCAUUGUGGAAAUCCUUGAGCAUAACAAGUAGAUCAUGCUUGAUCAAGCCCCAGAAAUGUUGAUAGAAGAAGAAGGGGAUACCAUCUGGGCCAGGGGCACCAUGAGGAAAAGAAUACAAAAUGCUUUUUAAACUUCCUCUUAUAUGAAGGGAGCUUCAAGGGAAUCGUAUUCAGCUUGUGUAACUUUUUCAUCAUGGGAGAAAUAGUCAGGCUUAAGCUUGAACCCACUUCUAGCUUAUUUUUUAAAUAAAUCUUUGUAUAAAUCACUAGCUACACCUAGCAUAUCUUCAAUGUUAGUGACUGGAUCAUUAGGACUAUGAAGGGACUUGAUGUGAGUUUUGCUCCUCCUUUGGUUCACAACUGCAUGAAAAUAUUUCGUGUCCAUAUCUCCCUCUUUGAUAUGCCUAUCUCUAGAUCUUUGUUCUGCUUUAGUUUCUUACUAAAUACAAUUUUUUGGAGUUCACCAUGAAUGAAUUUCCUUCUAGAGAAUUAAAUUUCAGAAAGAUUAGCAGAUUCUCCUUUGGUAUGCAAAUCAUCAAAUUCCUUUGUGAGAAUUUCUUCAAUAUCUUCUAAGGUUAGCCUCCUCGUUGAAAGUUCGUCCUUUGGUGUGCUUACUAAUGCUCCUAAUUUUCAAUUGCCAAUUAUCAAUGCGGGAGUUUGUAUGAGUAGGUUCCAACCAAAUUUUAGAAAUUGACUGAACAAAAUCCCCCCCUUAACAACCACCAUUUUUCAAAUUUAAAGUUAUUCUUCCUAGGUUGUUGAUUCACACCUGAAUACCACAUCAUAGGAGUGUGAUCACUUCCACAUCUAGGCAAAGAUCUAUAUGUGGAUAGAAGAAAAAUCUUGUCUAAUUCAUUGUCACAAAAUUGCCUAUCUAUAGUGUACAUGAUGAGUUCUACCUGGUUGUUGGCCAAGUAAACUUCCUACUAGAAAGUUUAAUUUUCAGGAGACUCCAGAUUUCUAUUCAAACAUUCAAAUUAUCACUCCGUUUAUGGUUUAUAAUUCCAUAGAUUUUAUCUUUAGCAUUCAUAACUAGGUUAAAAUGUCCACCAAUAAGGAUGGGUAUAGAAACAUCCACAAAAGAGUAUAAGAUCUAAAAUAAAGGCUUGUUUGCCCUCAUCAUAGGGAGAGCCAUAGGCUGUAACAAUUCUAAAGACACUAUCAUUAGACUUAAACUUGACCACACAACUAAUAGAGAAAUCUAGGUGAGACGAAGAAAUAACAUUAAAGGAUCUAAAUCCACCCCCAUCGGGAUGCCCCCAUGAGAGCCUCUAGAAGGUAGGUGGUGCCAGGUGAAGUCCUUGACCCCCACAAGUGAUUUUAAGUAAUUGUUAAAUAAAUUUUCCUAUUUUGUUUCUCGGAAACCUAGGAUAGAAGCAUGUGUUUUAGCUAAAUUCAUGCUAGUUUUUAUCAUAACAACUUUAUAUACCUAUGAUUUUUGGACGAACCAUAUAACUCAUGCAAAUUACCACUUCCUAUUCAACUCUCAAAAAGGAUCUAAGGGAAGAAAGAGAGUGCAAAUAAUAUUUUCAAAACAUAUUGCCAUGACCAAACAAAUAUAAGUGAAGUACAAGAGUAAUUGUCUCAACUCAGAAAGAUAUAAGUGAAGUAGGAAUGCAUGUUGUAUAAAUUUAGGAUGAAUGUGUGUCCCUCAUAGUAAAUUUAAUUAGGAAAUGAUGAUUGCAAAGAUUAGCAAACAAAACAAAAAUAAAAACAAAAGACACUCCAAGAAAAACACAUAUCAAGUGCAAAAUAAAAAUAUAGCUUCAAUUAUGAUACCAAUAAUUUUGAAAACAAAAGAGAGAAUGUCAUCCGAGGCAUUCCAAAGCUUAGAUACUUGAGUCUUCGGUGAAUAUUUCCUUGCGGUGCCCUGGGAAUCCCCAAUCUUAGGUUCUUGCAGCUCCUUGUUAUUUUCAUAGCGCUAUCUUACCCACAACUUGAAAACUUCAUUCACACAAAACUCAACAGAACUCUUGAGAUAUGUCAGCAUAAUAAAAUAAAUCAUUCGCUUACGUAUUGUCAAGCAAAGAUUCAUUAUUAUUCCCAAUUGAUGUCUACUGUGUUUUAUUACUUCCACUAUCUAUAUCCCCCAAUAUAAGCCAUAUAAACUUUAAAACAAGCAAAAAAAAACAUAGAAUCCCUCAAAAACGAAACAAUAAGUAAAGAUAUAGUUUUUCACCACACUUGUGUAGCUUUGCAACUUCUAAAUACUUAGGACACUACAAGAAAAUUAUAGUUUAGUACCGUGUAAAAAAUUCAGCAAUUUAUCACGUUCGAGUAUAAAGAAAUAAUUCAACCACGUGAUGCAAAGUUUAUGUUUCUGCAUAGAACCUAAUAAACAAGCAAUUUGCAAUAUCCCAUAGGUUUAUCUUGGUACAAAAAAUAGAUAAACAUAGUUUCUACGAUAGACAUAAUCAUGUUCACACUAAAGGAUUACUAUUGUGUUGCCUCCCAACAAGCGCUAUUGUUUAGUGCCCUCUAGCUAGGCAGAAUGUAAUCUAUCAAGUUUUAUCAUCUUCUAAAGAUAUAUCAUACGUAGCUCUCAUGAUAGAUUCACAAGGAGGUUAAAUCUUAGUCCUAGGGAAAUGUAUCAUACCUUUCUUUAGAGGAAACUAGACCUUAAUUACCUUCCUUCAUGUCAAUUAUUGCACCUAUAGUUCUUAGAAAAGGUCUCCCAAGUAUAGUAAGACAAUAUAUAUUACAUUCAAUAUCAAGAAUAAUAAAGUCUACGGGCAUGUAAUUUCUAUUAAUAAUUAUAAGCACAUCAUUCACUCUACUUGUAGGCUUUUUAGUAGUAGAAUAUGCUAGGUGCAAGUCUAAGGAACGUUCACUCAUAUUACUGAAACCGAGAACAACAUCAAUGCAAUAGGCAUAGUUGAAACACUAGAUCCUAAAUCACACAAAGUAUUGCACUCAAAAUCCUUUAUUUUAACAUUAAUAGUGGUUUUCCACUCAUCAUGCAAUUUUCUAGGUACGGGAACUACUAAUUCAAGUUACUCCUCAUUGGUUUCAAUAAUAGCUACUACAAUAUGUUAAGUAUAAGUCUUUUUUGUUCAUAAGCAUUGAGUCAAUUAAUUGUGGAUUGAUGCAAGGAAUACAUUAAGUAAAGGAAUAACUAUCAUAAUUAAAAUCCUUGUAAUCCAAAACAAUGGGAUCAUCACAAUCUAAAGUUUUUACCACUUCAAACCCACUUUUAUCAUUAUUAGCAACAAGAACAUCACCUUCUGAACAACUCACACACCUUUUAAAUAAAGUUGAAUCUUAUCUAGUCCCAUAAUAUCAACUUUAAUAUUUAAAACAAUGAUUCAAUAGUUAAUACAGCAAUAGUUUUAAUAUCUUCAUCAUGAUUAGCUAUAAAAUGAAAUCCAACCUCUCUUUCUUACCUUUCUCUUGUAACUCUAAGCAUAUCGAUUAUGUUUCUAUUAUAAUCAAUAGAUAGUUGAAUGGAUUUUAAAGAUUUAGUAAUUUCAUCCUUAUUAGUGGAAAAAAGUAAUGCUGAGAAUAUCGAUAUCAUGCACAAGCCUAUCCAUGUUACUAGACAAUUAAUCAAACUUACUCAAUUUUUCUUUUACCAUAGAUUUUUUUUGCAUACUAAUAAAUUAUUUAAUAUCGUUUUAUAAUUCAGUAGGCAUCCUAUUAUUAUUAUUAUCAUCNNNNNNNNNNNNNNNNNNNUCAUCAUCAUCAUCAUUAUAGGAAUUUCCAUAAUUAUUACACACAUUACCGGGAUACAGUCUCAGAUUAUUAUUGAAGUUCCCUCUAUAAGCAUUACUAGCAAAAUAUGCGUGUGCGUUGCAACGGGAGACAAAUAAAUUAUGCGCUAGCAAAUAAUUAUGACUCAAUAGCGUGACAUAUGAACAUCUUUUAUUUUAACACUACGGCUCACCAUGUCGCCACUUAUUUUUCUUUCCACCCUCGUUGAUGAUGGUGUGAUGUUCACGUGAUCAUAAUGCAUUCGACAUGGUAAAUCCCAAGGCUAUGAGCUUUCCACUGCAUGCUACACUUUUCAUUAUAUUGUGCAAGGAAAUGUUUAAAACUUUUAAAAAAAUCUCAUCGACCACGAACUACUCCCAAUGCCUAGACAUAUAAAGACUUUCAAAAAACUAAUCAAAUCCUAGACAUAGUUCUUUUGAAUCGGUGAACGGUUUUUUGAACUGACAAACAUUGUUUUCAAAUUUUGUAUUUUUCAAAAAAAUCACGAACAGUUUGAAAUGCAUGAACAAUUUUUCAAUUCAUGAAUAUUUUCUUACUCACCAACGUUUUUGAAUUGAUCAACUUUUUUCAAACAAAUUUUGAAUAAAUUUUAAAACAUGUGUUUUUUAAUUUAUGUCAGUAUUUUCUAAAAUUUCAUGGAAAUUUAUUUUUAGAUUCCUUAAUACAUUUUGAAUACACUAUCAUUUUUUCAAAAUCAUAAACACGGUUUUGUUUCUUGACCAUUUUUUCCAAAUCACGAAUAUUUUUUAUAAUUGGUGAACAGUAUUGCAAAACUAUCAACAUUUUUUUAAUCCACAAAAAAUUAUGAUUUCCUUAACAUGUUUUGAAUUCACAUACACUUUAUGAUUUCUCGAACAUCUUUUUGAAAACUUGCAACUUUUGAAAUUUCAAAAUCCUAAAUUUGUGGAAAGAAGGAAAAGAAAGCAGAAUGAGAAAAGAAAAGACAGAAAAAUUAAAUAGGGCAGUCAAGCCUUGCACAUGGGUCGGCUCAUUAACGCUUAUGUGGGGAUGAUUUGCUGGAGAAAAGGAAGAGAAAAGAGGUGGAGACUGAGAUUCGAUCCUUGGUCUCCAGGAUAGUAACGGUAGACACUAUCCACUUCACUACUUAGGCAUUUGUGCUUUGCAUCAGUAUUGUUUCUAUAAAACAACGUAGUACGACACGACUUUGCAACAACGGACGACAGAAGCACUUCGUGCUUUAGUAUGAGGGAAACCCCCCCCCCCCCCCCCCUAUCUAUUUUCAUGCCCCUUGUUCCUUAGUUGUGCUUAGAUUUUCCCAAGUCAACUAAAUUUUCUCACUUUUCCCCUCCCCCUCCACCACCCACUCACAAAAUCCCAAACGGAGCACUACCAUCAAGUCAAAGCCUUUGACUGUUACCUCCUGACUAGUGAGGUCACAUGAUAUCCUUGGAGGUGGGGCAAUGUAGGAUUAAGUAUGUCUAGGGGGGGGGUGAUUAGACUACUUCACAGGAUAAAAAUUUAGCCUUUUCCCAAUUUUAGUCAUGGGCCAGUUUUAGCAAUUAUGACUAGUCAAGUUCACCCUACAGAUGCACAUCUAAGAGUAUAGCACCGGAAAGUAAGUCAUGCAAAUGUAAAGUAGAGGGUAAGGUAGGGAAAUCAAACGCAAAGGUCGACAUAAUAUUUUUUGGCAUGGUUUCGAUAGGUGGCGCUAUCGUACGUCCAUGUUAGUGGAGACUUCAACCCACAGAGGGUAACGACUGCAAGAGUACACGGAGGGCUCCACCCAUAAGGGGACCACGAAGAAGCUGCCAUGUAUAUUCCACCACGGCUUCCGUCCACACAGGACUAGCCUCACUCACGGUAGAUCUUCAGGAAGUAGGCGAUCUCCUUGCCCUUACAAACAUCUUGGUUCAACUCCAGAACACGAAGUAGGAGGCUCCCUAGUGACACCUAACCAAUCUCGGAGGCACCACCCUCCAAAAUGUAAUAGAUGCGGUAGAACGAUGAACUCCUUGCUCUCGUGCUUCUAAAGAUAGUCUCCUCAACACUCAAUCACUCUCUCUCAGAUUUGGCAGGGGUAGGAGAGAUUGAUCUUGUGGAAAGCAAUUUGGGGAGGUGAUGACGAGUUGAUGGAUAUACUUCUCGCCCCUCGUUGGUUACCCCAAGUGGAAGGUGGAGAUGUAGUUAGUAGCAGAUUUCCCUUACACGGAGACUAUAAGGUUUAUCGAACCAAGAGGACUCCUAGGCUCAACAAGUAGGUGUCUUCCACCCUAGUGCUAGCAGAAGACAUGGACCUGCACACAACAAAUAACUUUGCUCCCAAUGAGUACAGAGAGGUUGUCAAUCUCUCCGGCCUUGUAGUUUGCAAAGGAUCAAAACACAAGCGGGAAGGUAAUAGUGAUUGCAACGAAAAGUAAACUAAAGCAGUAAAUGAUGGAGGUGUAAACAAUGAUGGUGAUAUGGACCGGAAGCACAUGAUAUUCACUAGUGAUGUCUCUCUCCCAAAAGACGAUAAACAACUAUGCUUGGGUAAAAAAUCACAGUUGGGCAAUUGACAGAAUUAUGAUAGCACCGCAAUGCUAAUUAUGCUACUUGAUAGUUAGAGGUUCAAUAGUAAUGGGCAGUACGCCAAGACAAGUAGACCGUUUAUUCAUCAGUGUCUACUUACUAAUCAUCCACCUUGAGAUAUUGUUGGGACCCCGAUCCUAAGCCAUAGGAAUUCAGCCUGUAACACAUCGCAUCUCUUUGCGGUCUCACGCACGGUUAUCCCCACGGCUGCAGCCUUACCUUAGCCGGGACCGUUUGUGCCUUUUGACUCGCGUAUGCAAUUGUGUCGCUAGCAAUCCAAUGUCAAAGAACCCGGAUCGACAUGUCUAGUCAUAAACUAAAGUGGCAGUUCCGUACAGGGACAUGCAUACAUGACCUAGCAAAGCAGGUGUCGGUCAUCAACGAAUGUAGACGAGUCGUAGCAAGCUACAAGGACUCCAUUACAUACGCGUGACAUUUCCCAAAGGGACAGACACAACAGCUAAGAAGGACACAUGCCGGUCAACCAAUGUGUCCGGAGUAGUAGCGAACUACCAAGGCUCGAUGGAAUCACAAAGGGGCAUUUCCCAGUAAGGAGUGCUACUAAGGCAUACGACUAGGUAUUCGAACCCCAUGCAUAUCAAGUACAACACACGUACGCAUGGCAUACCGAUAUGCAUAGAUACAUCGAUGGCAUCACAACAUAACCAUAAACAUACAAACUUUAUUUAGAAGGCUCGGAAGAGCCUCACACAUAAUAUUACACAGAUAGGGGUCUCAUGAACCAUCAUCAUAAUUCAUACACACAAGUCUUACAAGCCAGCGGAAGAGUAAAACUGUCUGAGUACAGACAGAUGGAAAGAUAAAGGCACAUGGCCUGACUAUCUACAAACCCAUCCUAGGGCUAGAUCGUAGCUGGGAUACCAGCUACUCGUCGUCGUCAACGUCUAGAUAGAACCCUCCAUUAGGGUCAUUAACAACCUCCGCAACAAUUAUUAAGCAAACGUGAGUACAAAAGUACUCAGCAAGACUUUAGGGUAAUCUAUCUACUCAUGCAAUGUAUCAACAAGGAGUUGUGGGGUUUCAUGCGGAAAGCCAGCAUUUGACUCUUGGCUAGACAACUUGCAUUUUUAAAUAGUUUUGACAACUAAGUUUCUCACACACGAGUCCACUAACACCACCACAAUACUCUAUCGUGGAAUCAUCCCGUCUCCCUACAGAAAUGCCGUCCAUGACACUCACACUUAUCUUAACAAUUUUAUGAGUAGCCAUUAUAGUUAUCUAUGAACAACAUAUGUUUCCAAGAAGUCUAUAUCCGUGGACGCGGCUAUUCAAAUAGAACAUAACCCUGCAGGGGUGUACUUCUUCACACACGCUCUCGCCACUUAUCGGCAUGUGCACGUCAUGCACCUCGGCAACCUUCAAGCGGAAGCCCAGCGAGGGAGUCGGCCACGACUGUUAACCACGCUAAUACUUAGUGUAGGUCUAUCGCCUAUCUGAGGGUAACCCGCACGGAAAUUCGGCCGAGGUUUCCACCACGGCUCCAAACGAUGUGCGCAGGGUUCCCAAGCCCACCAUCCAGGUGCCACUUGGUACACUGUGCCACUGCCUACCGCAUCAUAGCCCACCUCUAAGGUCAGUGCUACGCACGGCCUCCAGCAUGACUAUAAACACCAGAAACUACUUGCAACUCCUGGAUCGAGUACUAAGCGAUUAAUAAGUCGAGAGGGUCAAUUAAGUAUCCCAACGUGUGGUAGUAUCUAGUCUUGGAUUACAUACACGGAACUCAGUUCCUAAUGACGGUUCCAAUGAAACAACCCGCCAUGUACUCCUACAUAGCCUUUCACCGGUACCUUUACCAAAUCAGGUUCAACACACAACCUUUACCAACUAAACACAUUCUCAUGAUCCUGUUCAUCACCCAGAUGACAGACCAUACACAACUCUAAGCAUAGCAUGCAUAGCAGGAUAAGACACAUCAUGGCUCAAGCAACUACCAGGUUUUAGUUUAAAUUUAACUUAAUUAGUUAAUUAACAGAGUAGGACCCACGUGCUAGUGUCUGUUUAAGUUAAUUCAAUAAGUUAUUUUUAAUUUUUACUAAACUUAAUUAGCCAGGGGCUGGCCCCACGUGUCAUAGGGUCACGGGGGUCAGAUCCACCGGCGGCGAGGUCGAUCUCGCCGGCGGUGAGCCUCCGGCGACCACCAGAACAACGGAGGGGCUCAGGAUUGCAUCUCCGACGAACAAAUGCAUGGCGGAGGGCACCAAACAAAUUAGCACACAACCACAGUUCAAUUUCUGGAAGGACCCGAGGCUAAGAUGGCCGGAGAUGACGCUGGCGACGAGCUUGGCGGCGGCCGAAGCUCGGGCUAUGUCGGGAUCGACGAAACCGAAGGCAAAACAAGCGGGGCUUAGCUUCUAGAGCACCUACACGACGCACUGAAGCCAUUGAUGGCGUCAGAUUGACCAGCCGAUUACCGUAGGGCUACCGGCGACGAGGUCCUACGGCGGAUCUCGUCGGGCUCUGGUGGAAUCGGGGCCUAGAGGAAAGGAUCGAGGGGGAAAACUUAGGGGAAAGGACCGUGAGCUCACGGGAGUGCAGAGGCGUCGAGAGUGGGCGCGGGGAUGGCCUGAGGAGGGAGAACGACGGCAGAGAGCUCCGGUGACCCGAGGAAGAAGACGAUGGCUUCACGACGUUUCAGAGCUUCUCAACGUCGUGCGACUAGCUGGAGAGCUUCAGGGGAUCACGGCGAAGCUCUUGCACAGCUCAGGUGAGAGGGAGAGGGGCAGGAGCGACGAUGAGCUCGAGCUCAAGCUUCGGUCAUGGCGGCUGAGAGAGAGAGAAGAGAGCAGGGCGAAUGGGGAGGGGAUGAGCUUGGGGCGCUUAUCCCCGUUCGCACCAGCGCGACACGGCGGCCAAGCAGUCACGCAGCUGCGUGGGCGCGCCGGGGAACGCGGAGGCCAUCUCCUGCUUCGAUUGGCAAAGGAAGACGACGACGCUAGGUGGGCUGGGCUUCAGGUGAGCGACACGUAAGCUUCUUCCCAUUUUCCUUCCUUUCUGUUUUUUGUUUACUCUUUUUGACAUUUGUUCUGUUUUAUUUUUGGAUCCAAACUAUUCCGAAAAUAGUUUAAAAAAUACUAGAGUGUUAGUUGUAAUAUUUCCAACCACUCAUAAAGUUUUCAACAUUUUUGGAAACUUUGAAUUAUUUGAAAUCAAAUAUAUAUAAUUGAUUUCAGCAGCUUUUAACUUAAAUUUAAAAUGCCAAAAGUAGUUUGAAAAUAAGUUUCAUCUCUGAUAUUUGGUUUUCAACAUUUAUCAGAAAUAUUGAACUUUUAUGAAGGCCAUUUUGGGUUCAUUGAUUUGACACUUGUUGGAAUUCUUUUGAAUAAGAAGUGGCUUAGGGUUUUGCUUUGGUUUUCUUGCUUUGCUUUUGGGUUUUCAUUUCAUUUCCUUGGAUGCAUUAAAAGAAAACAUGAGCACAUCUUACUAAACGUAAUAGGGAUCAGGGAUGUGACAACUCACCCCCACUCAAAAGAAUCUCGUCCUGUGAUUUGGAAGUCGUCGAGAAUAGCGCGGGAUACUCAAGUCGGAGACGAUCCUCUCUUUCCCAUGUUGCCUCCUUUUCAGAAUGAUUUGACCAUUGAACUGUAAGAAACUUGAGGUUUCGACGUCGAGUGGUACGCUCAGCUUGAUCAAGAAUACGCACAGGGUAUUCUCGGUAUGAAAGGUUAUCUUGGAGAUCAAGCAUUUCGUGGUCCACUUCACGGUUAGGAUCCGAAAAGCAACGCCUGAGUUGCGAGACGUGGAAUACAUCAUGAACCUUGGAAAGAUGCGGAGGAAAUUCCAAUUGGUAGGCAACUUCUCCUCGUUUAGCAAGAAUGCGAAAAGGACCAAUGUAAUGAGGAGCCAACUUUCCCUUGAUACCGAAUCGAUGGGUACCCUUCAAAGGUGUAACCCGAAGGUAAGCCUUCUCGUCAACUUCAAAGGUCACAGCCUUAUGAUGACGAUCAUAUAGGUUCUUUUGACGAGACUAGGCUGUUUUCAACUUUUCACGAAUAAUGCGAACUUGCUCUUCUGCAUCCUGGAUCAUAUCUGGACCAAAGAGUUGCCUCUCUCCGGUUUCUGACCAAUUAAGAGGUGUUCGACAUCUUCGUCCAUAGAGAAAUUCAAAAGGAGCUUUGCCCAAGCUUGAUUGAUAACUAUUGUUAUAAGGAAAUUCGGCGAAUGGAAGGCACUUCUCCCAAUUCAUACCGAACGAUAUAACACAAGCUCGGAGCAUAUCUUCUAGGACUUGAUUCACUCUUUCUACUUGACUACUUGAUUGAGGAUGGAAAGCAGUGCUAAAAGAUAAGUGAGUCCCCAUGGCAUUCUGAAAACUCUCCCAGAAGCGAGAAGUAAAGAUACUCCCACGGUCUGAGUUAAUCUCCAGAGGAACACCAUGACGAGACAAUAUUCGAGAGAUAUAUAACUCUGCUAGCUGGCUAGCUGUUAUACUCUCACGAACUAGAAGAAAAUGAGCUACUUUGGAAAGACGGUCAAUGACCACAAAGAUAUCAUUAUUUCAUUUCUUGGUCUUGGGAAAUCCGGUGAUGAAAUCCAUACCGACUUUAUCCCAUUUCCAUUCAGGAAUAGCUAAAGGUUGAAGGGUGCCAGCAGGCCUUUGAUGUUCUGCCUUAACUCGACGACAAACAUCGCAGUUAGCAACGAACUCAGCAAUUUCUCUCUUCAUCCUAGUCCACCAAAACCUCUGGCGUAGGUCCUGAUACAUCUUAGUACUACCAGGAUGAAUGGUGAGAGGAGAAUCAUGAGCCUCCUUAAGGAUCAAUUGCCGCAGACGUUUGCUCUUUGGAACCACUAGACGGUUCUGAAAGAACACCACACCUUGCUCAUUGAUAGAGAAAUCCCUAGAGUUUCCGCUAGCAAUAUUCUCCUUGAUCCGGGAUAUACCCUUAUCGUAUGCCUGCACGGCUAUGAUUUGAUCCCUAAGAGUAGGCUUCGCCACCAGAGUAGAAAGGAAUCCUUGAGGAACAAUGUGAAGAUUUAACUUCCGAAAUUCCUCAUAGAGAUGUGGUUGACCUCGUUGUAGCAUCAGAUUGUUACAAUAAGACUUACGACUUAGUGCAUCAGCCAUAACAUUGGCCUUCCCCGGGGUGUAAGUUAUCCCUAAGUCAUAAUCCGUGAUCAACUCAACCCACCGUCUUUGCCUGAGAUUCAAAUCCAGCUGGGUGAAGAUAUAUUUCAAACUUUGGUGAUCAGUGAAUAUUUCGCAACGAUUACCAAGAAGGUAAAGUCACCAGGUUUUAAGUGCAUGGACUACUGCUGCAAGCUCAAGAUCAUGUGUGGGAUAAUUAUCCUUAUGUGGACACAACUAUCGAGAUACUAUGCAAUCACAUGAUGAUCCUGCAUGAGAAUGCAACCUAAUCCUUGUCGCGAGGCGUCGCAGUAGAUAACAAAGUCCUUAGAGAAAUCUGGUGGUAGCAACACAGGUGUAGAGGUGAGGCGUAUUUUCAAUUCCUGAAAACUAUGCUCACACUGUAGUGUCCACUCGAACUUUUUAUCUUUCUUGAGGAGUUCAGUUAGAGACUUUGCAACCUUGGAGAAAUUCUCGACAAAGCGGCGACAAUAGCUCGCUAGACCAAGAAAACUCCUAACUUUCUUAACUGAUUCAAGCUGAGUCCAAUCAAGGACAGCUUGAACUCUCUCGGGAUUGACAACAAUACCCUUACCAGAGAUUACGUGACCUAGAUAGGUCACUUCUGGUAACCAAAAUUCACAUUUUGAAAACUUGGCAUAAAGGCGAUGCUCUCGAAGUUUCAUCAACACCAGCCUUAGAUGCUCGGCAUGUUCUUGUUUGUUCUUCGAGUAGAUGAGAAUAUCAUCGAGGUAUACUACGACGAAUUUAUCCAAAUACUCCAUGAAGAUUGAAUUCAUCAAGCGAGAGAAAGUGGCUGGGGCAUUGGUUAAACCGAAGGACAUGACCGUGUACUCGUAUUGGCCAUAACGAGUGACAAAAGCCGUUUUUGGAAUGUUCCCGUUCUUGAUCUUGAUUUGAUGGUAUCCCAACCUCAAAUCCAUUUUUGAGAAGACUGAGGAUCCAACGAGCUGAUCAUACAUGCCGUUGAUCAUGGGGAGCGGAUACUUGUUCUUUAUGGUGACCAGAUUAACUGGUCGAUAAUGUACAACCAUCCGAUCCGUUCCGUCUUUCUUCUUGACGAAGAGGACGGGACAAGCCCAAGGAGAAGAGCUAGGACGAAUGAAACCUUUAUUCAAAACCUCAUCUAAUUGCUUCUUAAGUUCGGCUAGCUCCAGGGGUGCCAUCUUAUAAGGUCUUCUGGCUAUUGGAACGGUUCCCGGAACAAGGUCUAUCACAAACUCUACAUCUCUGUCAGGUGUAAUUCCUGGCAGUUCCUCUGGAAAAAAAUCCGGGAAGUCACGGACUAUCGAAAUGUCUUCAAGUUUCGGAAGAGGGUUGGCAUUAAGGGAAUAGAGUUGGCAUUUGGCAACUCGAGUAGAGACAUUGACUAUCUCACCCGAGGGAUGGGUAAGUUGAACAUUUCUAGAAUGAGUAUCAAUCUUGGCAUAGUGAGCUGACAUCCAGUCCAUACCCAAGAUGAUAUUGAUAUCCAAAGAUUUCAAGGCUAUCAAGGAUGCUAGAAAAACUAGCCUGUCUACUAGAAUUUCAUUGUCAUAGGUUAUCCUGGAGGUUUGCCACUUACUACCAGGGGUUUGAACAACCAAUGGGAUUGGCAUAUCUGAGAAAGACAUGUUAUGCAACUGUGCAUAACUUUCUGAAAUGAAGGAAUGAGAAGACCCAGUGUCAAAAAGAACAGACGCUGUGUGAUGAUUAACAAGGAGCGUACCCAGUAAGACGUCGUGAUCCUCUGCAGCUUCUUUUGCUGAAACAUAGUUCACACGGCCACGUGCAGGAGUUGGCUUCACAUAGUACGCUUUGCCCGACUUGCCUUGCCCAAUGGACUUUCUGGGUUGCUUGGCACCCAUAUUCUGAGGACACUCUCGGGAAUAGUGCCCUGGUUCUCCACACUUGUAACAGAUCACCUGAUUGGCACGUGGUGCAACAUUGCUAGCUGGACCACCAUAGGUUUUUGCUGGAGGGUUGGUCUGACUCGUCUGAGGCGCCCCAUAGGAUGGCCUCGGAGUAUAUCUUGGCGGCAGAGAACUAGUUGGAACCCACAACUUGCGUUUUGGGAGCGCGGAACCAGAUGACGAGCCCGAGUCACGAGAGUGCUUCUUUGUGGCUUCAUAGUCGGUAUGACCAGUCUCGACACUGAUCGCUUUGUUGACAAGAGCUUGAAAGCUUGUACAUUCGUGGAGGCGCAAAUCACGACGAAGUUCAGGGCUCAGACCGUUGCGGAAUCUUUCUUGCUUCUUGGCGUCAGUUGACAUCUCUUCAGUUGCGUAGCGGGCGAGGUUACCGAACUCGCGGCUAUAGGCAUCCACGGUCAAUUUUCCUUGGGUGAAUGCACAUAACUCCUCUCUCUUUCUGUCCAUCAGGCCCUCUAGAAUAUGGUGCAGACGGAAGUCUGCACUAAAGCCUGCCCAUGUGGCUACUGGUUCAGCAGGACGCAUAGCUUAAAAGUGCUCCCAACACAGAUUGGCGGGUCCUUCGAGAAAGUAUGCCGCAAAGGUCACCUUGUCGGCCUCAGAAACAUUUGCAUAGCGAAUCUUGUGCGAUAUACUAGACAACCAAUCAUCAGCGUCGAGGGGAUCGAUGGAGUGAUGGAACUUUGGAGGAUUCAGCUUCACAAAGUCAUUGAGGGACACUGCAUCAUUCCUAGGCUGACGAGCCGUAUUUUGCUCAAUAUGCUCUAACAGACGGUUGGUCUCCCUUUUGUUUCUCUCUGCUUCAAGCAUAACUUCCGCCAGUGAGGGCGGGUGAGGCAGUUCCUCCUGCGAUGCUUGACUACCCUCUCCUUGCUCAUGAGCAGGGGCACGGUUCAACCUGGUGAACACCAUCCUAACAAACAAACUCAUAGCUUAGACCAAUAUCAACAUCAACACUAACUAUGGAUUAAGAAUGCACUGAACACAUGGAAUGCGGAAAUGAACAUCCGAACAACAUGGUAACAAGCAACUGCUAUAUAUACACCAUGGUUCUUACACACCAUUACAUAGUUCAGUACAACCUUAACCGAAGUGCAAACUACUGAAAACAUGAAACUACUCAUCAGAGGCUUCCAAGCUUCCUAUACAUUAUUUAUCUAUGCCUUCGGAAUUCAUGUCACGACACAAGCAUACUCCACAAGACACAGAGGACUAUGGAAGUACAACUACUACCAUACUAUCCUUCCACUCACAGGUUUAGGCAUCCGCAUAGAACAUCUCAUAAAGAUUGCCUCCAUGGCCUCGGAGCUCAACCUGUGGAUCAAGAAAUACUCCAGCCCGAGACCCCUGGGAAUUGUAAGGACACGGGUGUGGCCUUGGUCCCCUGACUGGUGGUAGUAGAGGUCCCCGAAGAGGGGUGACUCCUCCUAUGGCAGGCCAGUAAAUAUGAGCCGGAAGAUGGGUCCUAACAGGGUUCAACAUCUCCAUAUCUCCAUACACUGUCUGGACUAGAGGUGCCAGCUGUGUCAAAGCCGUCCACAGACGGGCACGUGUAGCAUAGAGCUCCAUACGAAGGGCACGAGCAUCCUUGUCUCUAUUCUCUAGCAUCUCAACAGUGGACUGCAACGGCGGAUCCUCCAUAGAGGAAUCAAAGUAGACCCCACUGAGGUAUCCUUCUUCUCCUGGCUGAGAGGCAGGAACAUAGCAGAACUCUGAAUUCUGCAGCAGUGCAUGUCUAGCUCUCAUGAUGGUCAGCAUUGAAUAGGCAGCAUCUUGUACUGCCAUGUCAACAGCGACCCCCAAUCCAUAGGACCAGUGGAUCGGCUCCUCAGCUCCAGGGUAAUCUCGGAAUACCCUAAUAGUGCAGAGGUACUGACUCUGAUUAAAAUCCCGGUACUACUCCUCCACUAUGUACUCUGGGUACCAGCGGUAACCGGCUACUGACAUCGUCCUGACUAGCAUGGCCGUGUGACCCGGUACAUCAAUGCACCUAGUCAGAUAGACCACGUGACGAGUAGGACGGCCAGGCGUCUGAAAAUAGAGAGUAAUGCAAAAGCAUUAGAGCUCUAAAGACAAAAUUGGGCAGCAUAACGACUGUAAAUGCUCAAAACAAUUUUGAGACAACCCACAAAGAUAGGAUAACAUAACCACUCAACUAUCAAGUUAAAUUCCAUGGUCAUCAAAACUUACUUUCUUUUCCUUGGAAUAAAAGAAACCCGAAGUAACUCUCGACUCGUUGUCCUAUAAUCUACCGAUCAGAAACACGAGCCUAAGAGAAAGACAAGUAACCUUGUCCUUAAUCCCCGCAAAAAGGACGAGGAUGACCAGAAUAGAAUAACUUGAGAAGAGAAGCAAGAGUCUUACGUUCCCUUCCACAAACAAUUCCCUUAUGUAUAUCUAAAGCAAUUCUAGACUCAACUUCGACCAGUUUGGCUUAGUAAUCCUAGAGUCAGGCAGGCUCUGAUACCAACGCUGUCAGGACCCCGAUCCUAAGCCAUAGGAAUCCAGCGUGUAAUACAUCGCAUCUCUUUGUGGUCUCACACACGGUUAUCCCCACGGCUGCAACCUUACCUUAGCUGGGACCGUUUGCGCCUUUUGACUCGCGUAUGCAAUUGUGUCGCUAGCAAUCCAAUGUCAAAGAACCCGGAUCGACAUGUCUAGUCACAAACUAAAGUGGCAGUUCCGUACAGGGACAGGCAUACAUGACCCAGCAAAGAAGGUGUCGGUCAUCAACGAAUGUAGACGAGUCGUAGAAAGCUACAAGGACUCCAUUACAUACGCAUGACAUUUCCCAAAGGGACAAACACAUCAGCUAAGAAGGACACGUGCCGGUCAACCAAUGUGUCCGGAGAAGUAGCGAACUACCAAGGCUCGAUGGAAUCACAAAGGGGCAUUUCCCAGUAAGGAGUGCUACUAAGGCAUACGACUAGGUAUUUGAACCCCAUGCAUAUCAAGUACAACACACGUACACAUGGCAUACCGAUAUGCAUAGAUACAUCGAUGGCAUCACAACAUAACCAUAAACAUACAAACUUUAUUUAGAAGGCUCAGAAGAGCCUCACACAUAAUAUUACACAGAUAGGGGUCUCACGACCCAUCAUCAUAAUUCAUACACACAAGUCUUACAAGCCAGCGGAAGAGUAAAACUGUCUGAGUACAAACAGAUGGAAAGAUAAAGGCACAUGGCCUGACUAUCUACAAACCCAUCCUAGGGCUAGAUCGUAGCUGGGAUACCAGCUACUCGUCGUCGUCAACGUCUAGAUAGAACCCUCCAUUAGGGUCAUUAACAACCUCCGCAACAAUUAUUAAGCAAACCUGAGUACAAAAGUACUCAACAAGACUUUAGGGUAAUCUAUCUACUCAUGCAAUGUAUCAACAAGGAGUUGUGGGGUUUCAUGCCGAAAGCAAGCAUUUGACUCUUGGCUAGACAACUUGCAUUUUUAAAUAGUUUUGACAACUAUGUUUCUCGCACACGAGUCCACUAACACCACCACAAUACUCUAUCGUGGAAUCAUCCUGUCUCCCUAUGAAAAUGUCGUCCACGACACUCACGCAUAUCUUGACAAUUUUAUGAGUAGCCAUUAUAGUUAUCUAUGAACAACAUAUGUUUCUAAGUAGUCCAUAUCAGCGGACGCGGCUAUUCGAAUAGAUCAUAACCCUGCAGGGGUGUACUUCUUCACACACGCUCUCACCACUUAUCGCCAUGUGCACGUCAUGCACCUCGGCAACCUUCAAGCGGAAGCCCAGCGAGGGAGUCGGCCACGACCGUUAACCACGCUAAUACUUAGUCCAUGUCUAUCGCCUAUCUGAGGGUAACCCGCACGGAAAUCCGGCCGAGGUUUCUGCCACGGCCCCAAACGAUGUGCGCAGGGUUGCCUAGCCCACCAUCCGGGUGCCACUUGGUACACCGUGCCACUGCCUACCACAUUAUAGCCCACCUUUAAGGUCAGCGCUACGCACGGCCUCCAGCAUGACUAUAAACACGAGAAACUACUUGCAACUCCGGGACCGAGUACUAAGUGAUUAAUAAGUGGAGAGGGUCAAUUAAGUAUCCCAACGUGUGGUAGUAUCUAGUCUUGGAUUACAUACACGAAACUCAGUUCCUAAGGACUGUUCCAAUGAAACAACCCGCCAUGUACUCCUACAUAGCCUUUCAUCGGUACCUUUACCAAAUCAGGUUCAACACACGACCUUUACCAACUGAACACAUUCUCACAAUCCUGUUCAUCACCCAGAUGACAGACCAUACACAACUCUAAGCAUAGCAUGCAUAGAGGAUAAGACACAUCAUUGCUCAAGCAACUACCAGGUAUGCUAGGUUGGAAGGUUCAGCUAUUUAAUGUGACAAGGAUAGGUCAUGCAAAGGAAGUGGGUUCAACUAACAUGGUAAAAGCAUUGAAAGCAUUUGACCUAAUGCAAUAAAUAAGAGCAUGAGCGAGAACAUGGGAUUUGUGGGGAUGAUCAAAAUGGUUGCUUGCCUUGUUGCUCAGUAGAGGGGUGAUAUCCGUCAGUCGGAUAAUCAGACGUAUCCGGAGGGGCGGAGCCUACCGGAAUAACAACAAUCAAUCAAUAUCAAACAUAUGCAACAAAAUGAUGCAUGAAAUGCAAUGUAGCAUGGUUUGAAAUGACUAGCAGAACCCUUUGGGGUGAUCUUGAUUUGAAAUCAUAAUUCAAAUAUCAUUUGAAUUAUAAUUUAUCAAAUUCUUUUAAUUGAUUUGACCUGAUGCUGUUUCAUAACUUUGUUUUCAUGCAUGAAAAUAGCACCAUUGGAUUCCUUGGAUUUUUCUGAUCCAUUUACAUUUAUUAUUUGUCAAAUUUGGAGUUAUAUUCAAAUUUCAAUGAAUUUCCAAAGUUUUGAACUUAUUCUGGAAUUAUUUUUAAACAGAAAAGUCUUUAUUACAUCAGCACGACAUUAGCAGGUCCAACUGGCCGUUGAAAGUCAAACCUGACGAGUGGGACCCACUAGUCAAUGAUUCUGGCUAGGUUUUAGUUUAAAUUUAACUUAAUUAGUUAAUUAACAGAGUAGGACCCACGUGUUAGUGUCUGUUUAAGUUAAUUAAAUAAGUUAUUUUUAAUUUUUACUAAACUUAAUUAGCCAGGGGCUAGCCCCACCUGUCAUAGGCUCAGGGGGGUCAGAUCCACCGGCGGCGAGGUCGAUCUUGCCGGCGGUGAGCCUCCGGCGACCACCGGAACGACGGAGGGGCUCAGGAUUGCAUCUCCGAUGACCAAAUGCACGGCGGAGGGCACCAAACGAAUCAGCACACAGCCGCAGUUCCAUUUCUGCAAGGACCCGAGGCUAAGACGGCCGGAGAUGACGCCGGCGAUGAGCUUGGCAGCGUCCGAAGCUCGGGCUAUGUCGGGAUCGACGAAACCGAAGGCAAAACGAGUGGGGCUUAGCUUCUAGAGCACCUACGCGAUGCACUGAAGCCAUUGAUGGCCUCAGAUUGACCGGCCGAUCACCGGAGGGCUACCGACAACGAGGUCGUGCGGUGGAUCUCGUCGGGCUCCGGUGGAAUCGGGGCCUAGAGGAAAGGAUCGAGGGGGAAAACUUAGGGGAAAGGACCCUGAGCUCACGAGGAGUGCAGAUGCGUCGAGAGUGGGCGCGGGGAUGGCCUGAGGAGGGAGAACGAUGGCGGCAAGCUCCGGUGACCCGAGGAAAAGACGAUGGCUUCACGGUGUUUCGGAGCUUCUAGGCGUCGCGCGACUAGCUGGAGAGCUUCAGGGGAUCACGACGAAGCUGUUGCGCAGCUCAGGUGAGAGGGAGAGGGGCAGGAGCGACGGCGAGCUUGAGCUCAAGCUUCGGUCAUGGCGGCCGAGAGAGAGAGAGAAGAGAGCAGGGCGAAUGGGGAGGGGAUGAGCUCGGGGAGGCCUCGGGGAGCUUAUCCCCGUUCGCACCAGCGCGACACGGCGGCCAAGCAGUCACGCAGCUGCGUGGGCGCGCCGGGGAACGCGGAGGCCAUCUCCUGCUUCGAUUGGCAAAGGAAGACGACGACGCUAGGUGGGCUGGGCUUCAGGUGAGCGACACGUAAGCUUCUUCCCAUUUUCCUUCCUUUCUGUUUUUUGUUUACUCUUUUUGACAUUUGUUCUGUUUUAUUUUUGGAUCCAAACUAUUCCGAAAAUAGUUUAAAAAAUACUAGAGUGUUAGUUGUAAUAUUUCCAACCACUCAUAAAGUUUUCAACAUUUCUGGAAACUUUGAAUUAUUUGAAAUCAAAUAUAUAAUUGAUUUGAGUAGCUUUUAACUUAAAUUUAAAAUGCCAAAAGUAGUUUGAAAAUAAGUUUCAUCUCUGAUAUUUUGUUUUCAACAUUUAUCAGAAAUAUUGAACUUUUAUGAAGGCCAUUUUGGGUUCAUUGAUUUGGCACUUGUUGGAAUUCUUUUGAAUAAGAAGUGGCUUAGGGUUUUGCUUUGGUUUUCUUGCUUUGGUUUUGGGCUUUCAUUUCAUUUCCUUGGAUGUAUUGAAAGAAAACAUGAGCACAUCUUACUAAACCUAAUAGGGAUCAGGAUGUGACAGAUAUCUAUCCAGAACAUCUCUCCGGUAUUAAGUUGCGAGCCCCACCCAAAGUGUAAACUCAAAGCAACGGACAGCUGCAUUCAUGAACUAUGCGUAAGGUAAACGAUCUUUGCAAUCGUGGUCACAAGCACCGUUAUUUUCUCCCUGGUGGCAACAAGCAUAUCCCCUAGUCUCAUGCUUUUUUCACUCAAGCUAGACAUCGAGGGGCAUGAACCCACAAUCAUGCAAAACUCUCCCUCUUGGAGUUAGAAUCUACUACUUGGACAAAGCAAUAAAUAGCAACAGAGAACAUGCAUGAAUCACUAAGGAACAUAAUAUAAAAGGAUAAUCAAAUAUAUAAUUCAUAACAAUCUGAACAUAAUCUCAUAAUCCAUCGGAUCCCAACAAACCGAGCAUAGCAAUAGCAAGAGAAUUACAUAGAUGCCUUGAUCAUGUAGGGCAGUGCUAUCCCACAGACGACAGCGCCAGAAAUUGACGCGUUGACAAAGGCAGGGCUUUCGUUGGUUUUUCCCUUGAAGAGGAAAGGGUGAUGCAGCACAAGAGUAGUAAGUAUUUCCCUCAGUUUGAGAACCAAGGUAUCGAUCCAGAAGGAGGGUCUCGUCAAGUCCAGAGUACCUGCGCAAACACAAACAAGCUUGCACCCAACGCUUCAAAGGGGUUGUCAAUCCCUUCAAGAUUGUUUCCAAAGUGAGAUCUGAAGGCGAAAAGUGCAACUAAGUAAAGAGUGUAAGGCUAAAAAUAUGGUGUGGAGUAGACCCUGGGGCCAUAGUGUUCAUUAGAGGCUUCCCUGAGAAUAGCAAGUAUUACGGUGGGUGAACUAAUUACUGUCGACAAUUGAUAGAACCGCGCAAAGUCCUGACGAUAUCUAAGGCAAUGAUCAUACAUAUAGGCAUCACGUCCGAGACAAGUAGACCGAUACUUUCUGCAUCUACUACUAUUACUCCACACAUCGACCGCUAUCCAGCAUGCAUCUAGUGUAUUCAGUUCAUGACGAAUAGAGUAACGCCUUAAGCAAGAUGACAUGAUGUAGAGGGAUAAUCUCAAACCAAUGAUGAAAACCCCAUCUUUUUACCCUUGAUGGCAACAACACGAUGCAUGCCUUGCUACCCCUUCUGUCACUGGGUGAGGUCACCGCACAGUAUGAACCCAAAACCAAGCACUUCUCCCAUUGCAAGAAUCAUAGAUCUAGUUGGCCAGACAAAACCCACAACUCGAAGAGAAUUACAAGGAUAUGAAAUCAUGCAUAAGAGAGAUCAGAAGAACCUCAAAUAAGAUUCAUAGAUAAUCUGAUCAUAAAUCCACAAUUCAUCGGAUCUCGACAAACACACCGCAAAAGAAGAUUACGUCGGAUAGAUCUCCAUGAAUAUCAUGGAGAACUUUGUAUUGAAGAUCCAAGAGAGAGACGAAGCCAUCUAGUUACUAGCUAUGGACCCGUAGGUCUAUGGUGAACUACUCACGCAUCAUCGGAGAGGUCAUGGUGUUGAUGAAGAAGCCCUCCGUGUCCGAAUCUCCCCUCCGGCAGGGCACCAGGACGUGCCCCAGAUGGGAUCUUGCGGUGCCAGAAGCUUGUGGCGGCGGAAAAGUACUUUCGAUGAUCUCCUGACUUUUUUUGGAAUUUAUGGGAAUAUUUAGGCAAAAGACCUAGGGAAAAGGGCGUCGAGGGGGCCCACAAGCCUGGAUGGCGCGGCCUCCCUCCCUGGCCGUGGGGUGGGGGUUGGUGGGGCCCCUGAGGCUCCCCUGCCUUGGCUCCCAAGCUUCCCGAUCUUCUUCCGUUCCAAAAAAAAAAUAUUUUCGGGGAUUUUCUUCUGUUUGGACUCCGUUUCAAAAUCUCCUCUGAAAGGGGUCAAAAACAUGGAAAAAACAGGAACUGGCACUUGGCAGUGAGUUAAUAAGUUAGUCGCAAAAAAUAUAUAAAAUGCAUACAAAACAUCCAAAGUUCGACAAGAUAAUGGCAUGAAACCAUCAAAAAUUAUAGAUACGUUGGAGACGUAUCAAGCAUCCCCAAGCUUAACUCCUGCUCGUCCUCGAGUAGGGAAGUGAUAAAGAAUGAAUUUUUGACGUGGCAUGAAUGUUUAGAUCCGUAAGAUUCGAAACAAUAGUUUGCUAUUGACAUGAAAACAGUAAUACUUCAAGCAAACUAGCAAAGUAAUCAUGAACUUUCAAAAUAACAAGGCCAAAGAAAGUUAUCCCUACAAAAUCAUAUAGUCUGGCUAUGCUUCAUCAUCCUCACACAACUAAUGUAAAUCAUGCACAACCCCGGUAUUGGCCAAGUAGUUGUUUUCACACUCUUACUUUCUCAAACUUUUUAUAACUAUCACGCAAUACAUGAGCGCGAGCCAUGGAUAUAGCACUAUAGGUGGAAUAGAGUGUGGUGGUGGUUGUGAGACAAAAAGGAGGAGAUGGUCAGAUUGACUCGGCGUAUCAAUAGGCUAUGGAGAUGCCCAUUAAUAGAUAUCAAUGUGAAUGAGUAGGCAUUGACAUACAAAGGAUGCACUAGGGCUAUAAGUAUGUGAAAGCUCAAAAGGAAAACUAGUGGAUGUGCAUCCAACUUGCGUGCUCAUGAAGACCUAGGGCAAUUUUGAGGAAGCCCAUCAUUGGAAUAUACAAGCCAAGUUAUAUAAUUAAGAUUCCCACUAGCAUAUGGUAGUGACAAAGCAAGAAGCUCUCAAAUAUGAAGAACAUGGUGCUAUCAUGAAGCACAAGUGUGGAAAAAGAUAGUAGCAUUGUCCCUUCUCUCUUUUCUCUUUUAUAUUCCUUUGGGCUCUUAGGCCUCUUUUUUGUUCUUCUUUUCUCGGGGGGUUUUUGGGCUCUUUGUCCUCCUUUUUUUACUCACAUGGGACAAUGCUCUAAUAAUGAUGAUCAUCACACUUUUAUUUACUCACAGCUCAAAGAUCACAAUGAUGAUGACUCCAUAGGAAAUGCCUCCGGCAGUGUACCGGGAUGUGCAACGAUCUAGCAUGGCGUAUGACGUUGAACCAUCUCGCUAGCUAUCUUACGAUCAUGCAAUGGAAAUAUGAGAGUGACGGCAAAAGUCAUGAGACGGAAUGGUGGGAGUUGCAUGGCAAUAUAUCUCGGAAUGGCUAGGAAAAGGCCAUAGUAGGUAGGUAUGGUGGCUGUUUUGAGGAAGGAAUUUGGUGGGUUUGUGCACCGGCGAGAAUGGCGCGGCACUAGAGAAGCUAGCAAUGGUGGAAGGUGAAAGUGCAUCUAUACCAUGGACUCACAUUAGUCAUGAAGAACUCACAUACUUGUUGCAAAAGUUUUUAUUAGUAAUCAAAACAAAGUGCUAAACGCAUACUCCUAGGGGAAGGGUUGGUAGGUGUUAACCAUCGCGCGAUCCCGACCUCAACACAAAGGAUGGCAGUCAAUAGAUCAAUUAUGCUCCGACUUCCUAACAUAGCGGUUCACCAUACGUGCAUGCUACGGGAAUCACUAACUUCAACACAAGUAUUUCUAGAUUCACAACACCCUACUAACAUAGCUCUUAAUAUUACCAAAUCCAUGUCUCAAAACUAUUUGAGAGGAAUCAAAACUUCUCUUUCUACUCAAUGCACAUGAAGAUGGAGGUUUUUGUAUCCUCUUUGGGUACCUAUCACAUUUGGGACUACUUCCAUAGCAUAAGCCAACUACCAAAUCACGCACCACCAUGCUCUAAAAGAUUUGAGUGAAGCACAUAGAGCAAAAGUAUCUAGCUCAAAAGAUAUAAGUGAAGCACUAUGAGCAUUCUAGCAAAACCACGAUGAGUGCAUGUCUCUCUCUCUCAAAAAGGUAUGCAGCAAGGAUGAUUGUGACACAACAAAAAUAAAAGACUCCUAAGAUACAAGACGCUCCAAGCAAAACACAUAUCAUGUGGUGAAUAAAAAUAUAGCUCCAAGUAAUGUUACCGAUGGAUUGAAGACGAAAGAGGGGAUGCCUUCCCGGGGCACCCCCAAGCUUAGGAUUUUUGGUGUCCUUGAAUUUGGCUUGGGAUGCCUUGGGCAUCCCCAAGCUUGAGCUCUUUCCACUCCUUAUCUCUUUUUCCAUGAGAACAUCACCCAAAACUUGAAAACUUCACAACACAAAACUUAAACAGAAACUCGUGAUAACAUUAGCACAAGAAAACAAACUACCACCUCUUUAGGUACUGUAGCAAUCUUGAUUUCUAUUUAUAUUGGUGUUAGAUUACUGUAUUCUAACUUUUCCAUGGCUAGUACCCCCCGAUACUAUCCAUAGUUUCAUCAAAACAAGCAACCAACUCAACAAAAAACAGAAUCUGUCAAAAACAGACCAGUCUGUAGCAAUUUGUAUACUUCAUAUACUUAUGGUACCUCAAGAAAUCUGAAAAAUUACGAAGGCCUGGGAAAAAACCAUAUCAAUCAUCAGCAAAACGAUUCAACUCAAAAGAUCUUUCUGAAUAUAAAUAAAAAAUCAUCUCGUGAGCAAAAAGUUUCUGUCUUUUUCCAGCAUGAUCAAACAACCAUUACCAAGACUAGUCAUAAAGGUUUUGCUUGGCUCAAACACAAAAAGAAACACAAAAAACACAAUCAUGAAAGUGUAGAUGCAACAAAACAGAAAGAAAAAGAUAAAUUCAUGGGGUUGCCUCCCAACAAGCGCUAUUGUUUAACGCCCCUAGCUAGGCAUAAAAGCGAUAGAAUCACGUAUCGUCGUCUUUGGUGCUCAACCCAUAAGUGUCCCUCAUCAUGGAUUCAUAAGGCAAUCUUAUUUUCUUUCUAGGAAAGUGUUCCAUGCCCUUACUUAAAGGAAAUUGAAAUCUAAUAUUCCCUUCAUUCAUAUCGAUGAUAGCACCGAUAGUCCUUAGGAAAGGUCUACCAAGAAUAAUGGGGCAUGUAGGAUUGCAAUCAAUGUCAAGCACAAUGAAAUCCACGGGUAAAUAGUUCCUAUUUGCAAUAAUAAGAACAUCAUUGAUCCUUCCCAUGGGUUCCUUGAUAGUAGAAUCAGCAAGAUGCAAAUUAAGAGAACACUCUUCAAUCUCAUUAAAACCGAGAACAUCACAUAAAGACUUUGGAAUCGCAGAAACACUAUCACCCAAAUCACACAAAGCAUUGCACUCAUAGUUUUUGAUUUUGAUUUUGAUGGUAGGUUCCCACUCAUCAUGAAGCUUUCUAGGGAUAGAGACUUCCAAUUCAAGUUUCUCUUCAAGAGAUUUUAUCAUAGCUUCGACGAUAUGAUCGGUAAAGGCUUUGUUUUGGCUAUAAGUUUGUGGAGAGUUCAACAUGGAUUGCAUCAAAGAAAUGCAUUCAAUCAAGGAGCAACUAUCAUAAUUUAAUUCCUUGGAAUCCACGGUAGUAAUUUCAUUACUACUCAAAGUUUCAACAUCUUCUACUCCACUUUUAAUGCUUUUAGCAUCAAGAUAGAUGGACUCGAAUCAUUGGGGCACUUUUCAACCAAAGUGGUUUCAUAUCCAGCACCAUAAUCAUUCGGUUUGACACAAGAAAACAAAGAUUCAAUAGGAGUCACACCAAGCACUUUAAGAUCUUCGUGAUUCUCAUCACGAGAACACGCCUUUUUAAGCCAUUCAUGUCUAGCACGAAUUUGGGCGGUUCUUUCUUGGCUCUCAAUCAUGGAAACACACAUAGCUUUCAAAGUUUCAUCCAUGUUGAUUUUGGUAGGAGCACAUCUAACUUUCAAAGCAUCAACAUCACAAGAAAUUCUAUCAACGCUCUUAGCCAAAUCGCCAAUUUUGAGUAGUUUUUCCUCUAUGGACGCAUUGAAAAUCUUUUGAGAGUUGAUGAACUCUUUGAUAUUACUCUCUAGAUCAGAUGGUAAUCUAUUAUAAUUUCCAUGAGUAUUGUUGUAGGAGUUGCCAAAGUGAUUAGAGGAGUUACUAGGAAAAGGCCUAGGAACAUAGUUUCCUCUAAAAGCGUUGUUGUUGCCAAAGUUAUUCCUACCAACAAAAUUAACGUCCAAGUUAUUCCUCUCAGUCAAAGAAGACAAGGGCAUAUCAUUAGGAUCCAAAGGAGUGCUACUGCAACAAAAGACCUUCCAACGGUGCCAGAAAUAGGCGUGUUGAUGGGAGAUUGUUCUUGUCUUGAUACUCCUCAGCAACGGCACCAGGAAUCCUUCUGCUAUGGCUAUGCGUUAAGGGACUUCCUAGGAAAAUAUGCAAAGGAUUUCCCCCGUGGCCUUGGAGCCUUGCGUUGGUGUUCCCUCGAAGCGUAAAGGGUGAUGUAGCGCAGCAGUGGUAAGUAUUUCCCUCAGUUUGAGAACCAAGGUAUCGAUCCAGUGAAGGAGUAUCACAAGUGCCUGCACAAACACAAAAAGCUUGCUCCCAACGCUAUGAAGGGGUUGUCAAUCCCUUAUAGAUUGUUCGCUAAGUGAGAACUGAAAGCAACAAAGUAACAAAGCAAAGUAAAAGCAAAAGUGGAAACGAUAGGUGUGAAUAGACCCGGGGGCCGUAGUGUUGACUAGUGGCUUCUCUCAUGAAAGCAAGUAGACGGUGGGUGAACAACUUAGUGUCAAGCAAUUGAUAGAACUGCGCAAAGUCGUGACAUCAUCUAUGGCAAUGAUUAUAUCUAUAGGCAUCACGUCCAAAACAAGUAGACCGAUACUUUCCGCAUCUACUACUAUUACUCCACACGUCGACCGCUAUCCAGCAUGCAUCUAGUGUAUUAAGUCUGAAAGAACAGACUAACGCCUUAAGCAAGAUGACAUGAUGUAGAUGGACAAUCUCAUAUCUACAACAGAGCCCACCUUAUUACCCUUGAUGGCAACUACACGAUGUGUGCCUUGCUGCCCCUACUGUCACUGGGAAAGGUCACCACACGGUAAGAACCCAAAACCAAGCACUUCUCCCAUUGCAAGAAUCAUAGAUCUAGUUGGCCAAACAAAACCCAAGACUCGGAGAGACUUACAAGGAUAUCAAAUCAUGCAUAUAAGAAAUCAGCAAAGACUCAAAUAUAUAUCAUAGAUAAUAUGAUCACAAAUCCACAAUUCAUCGGAUCUCGACAAACACACCGCCAAAGAGGAUUACAUCGGAUAGAUCUCCACGAAGAUCAUGGAGAACUUUGUAUUGAAGAUCCAAGAGAGAGAAGAAGCCAUCUAGCUACUAACUACGGACCCGUAGGUGUGAAGUGAACUACUCACGAGUCAUUGGAGGGGCGAUGAUGUUGAUGUAGAAGCCCUCCAACUCCAAAGUCCCAUCCGGCAGGGCACCGGGAAGGGUCUCUAGAUGAGAUCUCACAGAAACGGAAGCUUGCGGCGACGGAAAAGUAUUUUCGUGGAUCCCUUGAUAUUUUCUGUAUUUUAGGGAAUAUAUAGGCGAAGGAUCUAGGUCAGGGGGCGCCAGGGAGGCCACAAUCCUGCCCACCGCCGCCCCUGGUGGCGGAUGGGGGGCUUGUGGGCUCCCUGUAGCCCUCCUGGCUUGGCCCACAAGCCCCCUGAUCUUCUUCCGUUCGGGAAAAAAUUAAUUCGGGGAUUUUAUUCUGUUGAGCCAAAAACACAGAAAAAACAGGAACUGGCACUUGGCACUGAAUUAAUAAGUUAGUCCCAAAAAUAUAUAAAAGGUACAUAAAACAUCCAAAGAUGACAAGAUAACAGCAUGAAACCAUCAAAAAUUAUAGAUACAUUUGAGACGUAUCAAGCAUCCCCAAGCUUAACUCCUGCUCGUCCUCGAGUAGGGAAGUGAUAAAGAAUGAAUUUUUGAUGCUUUCAUGCUACAUAGCAUAGAUGUCCUUUGUAACUCCUCUUAUGUGACGUGAAUGUUCAGAUCCAUUAAAUUUAAAACAAUAGUUUGCUACUGACGUGGAAACAAUAAUAAUUCAAGAAAACUAGCAAAGUAAUCAUAAACUUUCAAAAUAACAAGGCCAAAAGAAAGUUAUCCCUACAAAAGCAUAUAGUCUGGCUAUGCUCUAUCAUCAUUGCACAAUGAAUUUAAAUCAUGCACAACCCCGGUAUUGGCCAAGUAAUUGUUUCACACGUUUACUUUCUCAAACCUUUUCAACUCUCACGCAAUACAUGAGCGUGAGCCAUGGUUUUAGCACUAUAAGUGGUGUGGAGUGUGGUGGAGGUUGCAAGACAAAAAGGAGAAGAUGAUCACAUUAACUAGGCAUAUCAAUGAGCUGUGGAGAUGCUCAUCAAUAGAUAUCAAUGUGAAUGAGUAGGGAUUGCCAUACAAAUGAUGCACUAGAGCUAAGAGUAUGUGAAAGCUCUUAAAGAAAACUAGUGGGUGUGCAUCCAACUUGCUUGCUCACGAAGACCUAAGGCAAUUUUGAGGAAGCCUAUCAUUGGAAUAUACAAGCCAAGUUAUAUAAUGAAAAUGUCCCACUAGCUAUAUGGUGGUGACAAAACGAGAGACUCUCAAUCAUGAAGAUCAUGGUGCUUAAUAUGCACAAGUGUGGAAAGGUGGUAGCAUUGUCCCUUCUCUCUUUUUCUCUCAUAUUUUUUAUUUUUUUUAUUUUUUUUACUGGUGGGCUCUUUGGCCUCUUUUUUUUGGUGGGCAUCUUUGGCCUCUUUUAUUUCCUCACAUGGGACAAUGCUCCAUCAAUGAUGAUCAUCACACUUUCAACUCAAAACUUAGAGCAGCGAUGACUCUAUAUGGAAUGCCUUCGGUAGUGUACCGUGACAAUGAUCUAGCAUGUCAUAGACAUUUAAUGGAAACAUCAUGCUAGUUAUCUUACGAUCAUGCAAUGGCAAUGUAGACGUGGUGGCACACGUCAUGGUGGUAGUUCACAUAGCGGUUCUUCGUCAAAGGAUGACAAUCAAAAGACUAAUCAUGCUCAUUCUUCGUCACAUAGCGGUUCACCAUACGUGCAUGCUACGGGAAUCACUAACUUCAACACAAGUAUUUCUAGAUCCACAACACCUUACUAGCAUGACUUCAAUAUUACCAAAACCACAACUCAAAACUAAUUCAGAUGAAUCAAACUUCUCUAACUAUUCAAUGCACAUGAAGGUGGAAGUGUUCGUAUCCCUUUGGAUAACUACCCCUUUUGAGACUAUUUUCAAAGCACAGAUCAACUGCCAAGCCACGCACCUCUGUGCUCUAAAAUAUAUAAGUGAAUCACACAGAGCAAAAGUAUCUAGCUCAAAAGAUAUAAGUGAAGCACAUGUGAGCUGAAUUGUCUACCAAAAGAUAUAAGUGAAGCUCGACAAAAUCACAGUGAGUGCAUGUCUCUCUCUCUAGGUGUGCAGAAAGGAUGAUUGUGACACAACAAAAAUAAAAGACUCCUACGAUACAAGACGCUCCAAGCAAAAACACAUAACAUGUGGUGAAUAAAAAUAUAGGCCCAAGUAACGUUACCGAUGGAUCAAAGACGAGAGAGGGGAUGCCUUCCCGGGGCAUCCCCAAGCUUAGGCUUUUAAGACAUCCUUGAAUCUCUUGAGGUGCCUUGGGCAUCCCCAAGCUUGAUCUCUUGCCAUUCUUUAUCUCUUUGUUCAUAAGAACUUCAUCCAAAACUUGAAAACUUCACAACACGAAACUUAAAUAGAAACUCGUGAUAACAUUAGUAUGAGAAAGCAAACCACCACUUUCUUAGGUACUGUAGCAAACUUAAAUUCUACUUAUGCUGAUGUUGGGUUACUGUACUUUCAAUCUUCCAUGGCUAAUACCCCCCGAUACUAUCCAUAGUUUCAUCAAAAUAAGCAACCAACACAACAAAAACAGAAUCUGUUAACAGCAGACCAGUCUGUGGCAAUCUGUAUAUUUCAUAUACUUCUGGUACUUCAUAAAUUCUGCAAAAUUACGACUGUCUGAAGAAUUUGCGUAGCAAUCAGCAGCAAAAAGAAUCAACUCAAAAGCUCUUACAGAAAAAAAAA